CAUAGGUAACCUACCUUUAAGUCUGGGACAACUUCUCGAAAGGGGAGCUAAUACCGGAUACGCUCUUUUUAGCGCAAGUUUUAAAGAGGAAAGAUUUAUCACUUAUUGAGGGGCUUAUGCCUGAUUAGCUAGUUGGUGGGGUAAUGGCCUACCAAGGCUUUGAUCAGUAGCUGGUCUGAGAGGACGAACAGCCACACUGGGACUGAGACACGGCCCAGACUCCUACGGGAGGCAGCAGUGGGGAAUCUUGCGCAAUGGGGGAAACCCUGACGCAGCGACGCCGCGUGGGCGAUGAAGUCUUUCGGGAUGUAAAGCCCUGUCAAGUGGGACGAUUAUGACGGUACCACUAAAGGAAGCCCCGGCUAAUUACGUGCCAGCAGCCGCGGUAAUACGUAAGGGGCGAGCGUUAUCCGGAUUUAUUGGGCAUAAAGCGCACGUAGGCGGUCUUUUAAGUCAGAUGUUAAAUCCUUCAGCUCAACUGAAGUGCUGCAUUUGAAACUGAAUGACUAGAGUACAGGAGAGGAAAGCGGAACUCACGGUGUAGCGGUGAAAUGCGUAGAUAUCGUGAGGAACACCAGUUGCGAAGGCGGCUUUCUGGACUGUUACUGACGCUCAGGUGCGAAAGCGUGGGGAGCAAACGGGAUUAGAUACCCCGGUAGUCACGCUGUAACGUGU
rnacentral:rRNA from 1 species